rnacentral:lncRNA from 1 species
UGCUCAACAUCAUUCAACUUCAGAGAAAUGUAAAUUAAAACCACCUCAACAGAACACUGACAACAUUAUGUUUCCAUAAGGAUGUGAGGCGAUUGUGUCUGACGUGGAUUGUCAAUGGGAGAGUAAAUCAUUACUGUCGUUUUGAAAAAGAGUUUGGUAGUUUUCUUUAUAAAGUUAAGCAAAUACCUACCAUAUGCCUCAACAAUUCUUCUCCCAGAUAUUAACCAAAGAGAAAUGAAAACACAUGCCUGUUGAUAGAUGUGUAUAUACAUGUUCAUAUUAGCAAUAAAUAGUAGACACGUUAUAAUAGUAAAAAGUAGAAAAAACCCAAAUGUCUAACAAGAUGAAUAGAUAAACUCAGUAUAGUAAAUCCCUAAAAUGGAAGCAAAUAAAAACACAUUAAAAAUAAAUGACUAAUUAAGUCAGUCAAGCUGAUGCACACAAUAAUAUGGAUGAAUCUACAAAAUAAGAUAAUUCUUUAGCUGAGCUAAAGAAGUCAGAUACAAAAGAUUGUGUACUGUAAGAUGCUGCUUACAUAAAGUUUUAGAAGGGGAAAAUCUAAUAUAUCAGAAAGCAGAUUAGUGAUUUCCUGGAGCCCUGUCAGGGAUCACUAGGGAAAGAACACCAGAAAAGUUUUUAGGAUAAUGGGGUGUUCUAUAGGUUGACUGAAGUGAUGCUAGUGGGGAUAUAUACAUUUGUCAACAUUUUACUAAAUGGCACACUUAUAAAGGCACACUUUAUUAUAUAUAAAUUAUGACAGUACAAUGAACUGUUAAAAGUUAAGUUCAAUGUGCAGAUUUCCCAGGCAGCCCUCUAGGAAAUUUUCAUUAUCUUCCCUCUCCAACUGAUACUCCUCUUGCUUCCAUUAAUUUUUGUCUUUAGCAAUUAACACUUGUUAGUUUGCUCUACAUUUAUUUAUUUCUUGUUAUCUAUGUGCUACACUACUAAAAUAAAAGUUCUGUGGAAGCAAUCAGGCUGCUAUUAUUUAAGUAACAAAAAUUUUAAGAACUAAUUCAAUAUGGAAAAUUAGGUAAUGAUGAAACAAUAAAAUAGUAUCUAAUGCUGGGUGAUAUAUUUAUAUGUCUCAUCUAUUCUGAGAUCUUUCCUGUUCUUAGAGUAUAAAUCAUAUCAUCCUGUGGAAGCAUAUUUCUACUACUAAGUAUAAUAAGACAUCUCCUUUAUACCUGCAGGUAAAAACUCCAAAGCAACUGGCCUUUUCAUAAAUUUUCCUCUUAUAGUCUCUUUCCCACUUUCCUAGUUCUUGAGAUAAAUGGGGAAGACAGUUGUGCAAUCCUCCUUCAGCUGAAAAACAAAUGACAUGAUGUGCAUAUAACAUUAUCUCCACUCCAACACAAUUUUAAGGGCUUAAUACAUUCAUUCUACCUCCUGAGUAUUUGGAAAACCCUGGGACUUCUUUGAAUGGUUUCAUUAUUUGGUUUCAAAAGAUAUAUACACUUAUAUCAAAUUGAUUUCCAUUUUAUGAAUUCCAAGACUUUCUUAUGUCUACAGCUUCUUUAAAUAGUCAACAGCCUUUUUCCCUGUCCAUCAAACAUGAUGUAGUAGAAAGACCUUGUUCUGAGCCAGAGAAAGGUCAGUUAGAAUAUUAGCUCAACCACCUCUCUUGAGAAAUGUUAACAGCAUACCCUUAUAUUGGCUCUUCAGUUUACUCAUCUGAUCAAAGAAGAUAAUAAUAUCAACUGUAGACUGUUGCAUAUAUUUGCUGCAAAGGGAGGAAGGCUCACUUGACCUUCAUCCUUUAGUUUUCAUGUAGCUUGAGGUGACUGAUAAGCCCAACUAAAGUGAACAAUUGGAAAUUCAUUAGCUGACAUAACAAGGGGGUGAUGGUAGGGAUUGUUCCUUGAUCAGAUUCUCCCUGUCUUUCAGCCUAACAUUGCUCUGUUUAGUAUUCUAGGCCUUUCACUGUAGUUCCCCUCAUGGUUCCAGAAUAGCUGUUCCCAACAUGAUAAUCAUGGGGAAUUGACCAGAGGUAGAAAAUAAAAGUAUGUUUUGUGUACCUUUUUUAAGAAAGCAAGCAGAGUUUCCACAAAAUCCCUACCAGGAUUCUUCUCGCAAAGUCUGGCCAAAAGGGCUCCAUUUGUAUCUCCCUGCCAGCCUAAGGCAAUCACUGGACAAGGAGAAUGGAGCUGCUAUGAUUGAUUUCCACUCAUCAAGAUUCAACAUAUGGGACCAGGGAGGUACCAUCCUCCCUUUCAAGAAACACUUAUUCUCACCAGAAAAAAUAUCAGAGUCCUCUUAGCAAGGAUGAUGUAGGCUAUUUGGUAGAAAAUCAAGGAGAUAUUUACUUUUAAGGAAUCUGUCACCACCUGACAUCUAGUGACAGUAUUAUUGCUGACCCAGAAUUCUAACUGUUGACACAUUGAUAGUAUCAUCAUUUCUCUAGGACAUAGAGAGGGUGUGUGUGUAUGAGUGUGUGAGUGAAACAGAGAAAGAGAGAAAUGCAAGGAGAGAAUGCAGAAAUAAUAAAUUAUUAAUUUAUGAUGAGAAUUGUAAACUGUCACAUUAGACAGAAAUAUUGCUGCUGUUGUUUGGGGCAUUUUUCUGACUCUGACCCUAGGAUUUUUAUCCUCAGAAUGUUGCUUGGAAAACCGGACCUCUAACUCAGAAUUGUUAUUUAACCUUAAGGAAAUUUUUUGUUUUCUUUACUGAGAGUGAGUUGAGGAUAGAUAGCCCUGUGGAUGCCUAAACCUUGGAGAGUAGACUUGCGGUGGGAGCAGAGAUGUUUCUAUCCAUACCCUUUGAAUAGUGAAAGCCUUUUGCACUUUUUUUUUUUUAUCUCAAGUUCAGUGAUUUUUCACAUCUGCUCUGGGUAACAUUAUCUUCUGGGAGAUAUGUCAGAAUUUCUAAAACCAUAGACCAUUAGCCAAAUAGCAAAAUUAUAUCUGUCCUUUACAUUUUGCUUCCACUCUAAGUGAAGCAAUUUGUGGUUGUUAUUUAGACAGGUUAUACUGAAAUUGACUUGGUUUCUGCUUACUGAAUUAGACCUGUCGCUUACCUAGGUCCCAGAAAUUAUUCCUAAAUUAUUUUAGUUGAAAUUAAGACUGAGCUCAACUCCUGGUUUCCUUGCACAGAAAGUUAAUUAUAAAAAGAAUAUGAAUUUUACUAAGUAAUUCAAAUUGGUAAGUUUAUUCAUUUACCUACAUAUCCAUCAGGGGACACUUCACUGGUAUCCCCGUAUAUUCUCAACAGAGUGGAUUAUUUUAAGGAUUGUUUGCAGUUGUACAUGUGAAAAAUCUAUUAGUUGACUGACAUGACUGCCCUGUGCAUAGUAGGCACUCAGUAAAUGUGAGAUGAUACUGUUAUUUUAUUCUGGAAAAUUAGAAUAAUGAUACCUACCUCUUGGUGUUAUUAUAGAAAUGCAAUUAAAUAUCAUCCAUAUAGAUGCCAAGUACCGUACUGAGCUUCUAUGCAGGAACUCUAUAAAUAAUAAUUCCAUUCAUUUCCCUGCCUGCUCAACAAAGCAUCCAGAGGAGUAAUAACAUUGUCUUCAUGAUCCUACAACACCCCAGCAAAAUAAUUUCCUCUUCUUGGAAGAGAGAAACCAAUAAAGUGUGGUUUCAAUUUAUUUAGAGUAUUUUCUCCUUCUGACAGCAUAAUAUAAGCCCCUGCUAUGAAAUAACCUUUCUGCUGAUCUAUGUAUAAUGGUUACUCAGUACUACCUAGUCCUUUUUGGAUAAAUAAAUUAAAAAUACUCAGUUUCAAGAAUGCAACAAGCAUACCAGUGUGAAGAAACUACCCAUUACAGACUCGGCAGAGUUACUGUGAAUAGCAGCGGGUGUUGGCGAGUGCAAGCUCUAAGCAUUUAUAACUCUGAGUGUUACUGCCUGCUUGAAAGAAUUCGCUAUUUACUUCCAACUGAGGACAAUUAGAAUUAAAUCCCAAAGCCACACAUCAGGUAAGUGAAAGAGAACAGCAGAGGAAGAGUUACUUUAGGUAGCAUGAUUCUUACCUUUUUUAGUUAGUUAGGUGAAGUAUAAAAUAUCAAUAAUCAUGUUCUUUAAUGCUGGAUAAUUGCAUUUGGGAAGCUUGCCUUAUCUUUUCCAAGAUAUCCCUGAGAAAGUUCUGUAAUGCUGCAUAGAAUUGCAUUUCUAUGACUGAUUAGAGUGAGGCAUUUCCUUUGCACACCCAGAGGUAAAAAUUCAAAAGCAAUUUUCACAAAUUGUAACAUUCUAGAUUAGAGGAUGUUGAGAGUACAAUUUCCAUGCAAUUUAAGAUUUCUUUUCUGACUAGAAUUUUUUUUUUUUUUUUGGUCUUUUCUAAGGCUGCACCCGCAGCACAUAGAGGUUCCCAGGUUAGGGGUCUAAUCGGAGCUGUAGCUGCCAGCCUAUGCCAGAGCCACAACAACACAGGAUCUGAGCCAUGCCUGCGACCUACACCACAGCUCAUGGCAACGCUGGAUCCUUAACCCACUGAGCGAGGCCAGGGAUCAAACCUGCAACCUCAUGCUUCCUAGUUGGAUUCAUUAAUCACUGAGCCACAAUGGGAAUUCCUGACUAGAAAAUUUGUGAGCUUCUGUUGCAGAUGGAUAUUGAUUUUAGAUGAUUGUAGACGGACAAAGAAACUAGAAAAGUAUUUGUGUUUUCAUAUACCUUUUAUUUAUAGGGAGUGUGAGUUGCAUUAAAUGUCACCAAGUUAUCUUCUCCAAAUGAAUGAUAGUUACUAAUCUUGUUCCAGUUCAUAUGAAAACAGUUAGCUUUGAUUCUACAACUGCCAUACUUCAAGGCUUGGGGGGCAUGAGUGAUGGAAGUCUGGGUUUAAAAGUUAUAAAUUCAUUUAUAUAUCUAUUAGUGGUUUUAUGAAAAGGUUUAUAAAUU